rnacentral:rRNA from 1 species
AUGAACGCUGGCGGCGUGCCUAAUACCUGCCAGUCGAGCGAACGGACGAGAAGCUUGCUUCUCUGAUGUUAGCGGCGGACGGGUGAGUAACACGUGGAUAACCUACCUAUAAGACUGGGAUAGCUUCGGGAAACCGGAGCUAAUACCGGAUAAUAUUUUGAACCGCAUGGUUCAAAAGUGAAAGACGGUCUUGCUGUCACUUAUAGAUGGAUCCGCGCUGCAUUAGCUAGUUGGUAAGGUAACGGCUUACCAAGGCAACGAUGCAUAGCCGACCUGAGAGGGUGAUCGGCCACACUGGAACUGAGACACGGUCCAGACUCCUACGGGAGGCAGCAGUAGGGAAUCUUCCGCAAUGGGCGAAAGCCUGACGGAGCAACGCCGCGUGAGUGAUGAAGGUCUUCGGAUCGUAAAACUCUGUUAUUAGGGAAGAACAUAUGUGUAAGUAACUGUGCACAUCUUGACGGUACCUAAUCAGAAAGCCACGGCUAACUACGUG